UGCCACGGGAUCUUUGACACCCACCUAAGCAGGCAGACUGGAUCUCGGUUUAAUAUUUUUUAUCUGAAGGACAGCACAUUUGACAAUGCAGCACACCCCCAGCACACUGAGUACCAGCAAAGACAGCACAGAUCAACUGAGAUGCUGACGUUAGCGGGUUCACAGUGAUAAAGGUGAAAGACACUGUGAGGCAAAUCCUUUGUGGCCACCAUAUAAUAGUCCUGGAUUUGAAGCAUGUGCCUGAUGCUAUCUUGCAGAUUUAAAAAGAACAUUAAAUAUCAAAAUAUAUAAUCUGACGGGCAGGAAGUGGAGAGAAACGACCAAAGAAAGAGCAUGGAGGGGGCGGUGGGUGGGGGAAUCAUCAAAUGGUACUUGCUGUCAACUGUUUGACGAGCUGGUUAAUAAAUAAAUAUUCUACAGGUCCUUUUGCUACUGAA